UUUUUUUUUGUCCACGUUGAAGGAUUAAUCUUUUUCUCAUUUUUCUCCAAUUGAGAGAAAAGUUGCAGAAUGUACGAGCAUAAUUGAUCCUCUUUUCCCUCUCUUGUUCUCUCUCAUCUUCUUCGAUCAUUGGAUUUUUUGUUUGUGACCGAUGUACGCUGGAUUUUUUAGGACCACUGCAUGGUGAGGUCUUAUUCUUUGUCUUUAGAUUUUUUUUCUUUUUUUUUUUGGGUUGUAUUGCGAUUGUCGGGAUGAUGUUGAUGAAGCUGAGCAGAGAUCGGUUUAACUUCCAGAUUUGGUUCAGAAGUUGGUCUCGGUUCAGUAGGCAAUUCAAGAGAUGGGUGUGAUAGCUGUGAACACGAAUAUGGUCUCAGACUCAUGUCAUCUCUCGUCGGUGUGUGGUGCAUAGGAUAAGAUUUGCUAGUUGUAGGUUUUUGUUGUAGUUAGAGGUUUGAUGGAGUUCUAAUAGGAACUUUAUGUCUCAUUAGCCCAGAUGUGGCUCUGUUUUGGGUUUAAAAUUUGAAUCUUUGCCCUUCCUCUAUGGUGGCUCCUCUCACUUGUUCGUUGUCGCAUUAAGAGAUGUAUUCAUUAUGGAUGUUUGUUAUUCAUAUGAUAUUAUGUUGUUGAGCCAUCUACUAGCAUCUCUUUGAGGUUUUUUUGGGGAUUUUUGUUAAUGGCCUUUCUACGGAUGUUUAAAUCACUGGUUUAUGCCAAGAGAUUCAACAACGGGCACUGCGUUUUGGGAGAGAUCUCCUUUCUUCAUACAAACCGUUCGUGUAAUAUCGUCGCUCAUAUGUUGGCGAAACAAGGUUGUAGUCUUUCAAAUGUCUUUUCGGAUUGUAUGGAUCCUCUUGUAUCAUGAUCAAUUAAAUUCUUAAUAAAGAUACCCGUUAAAAAAAUUAAAUAACUAUAUUUAUAUAAGAUUUAUUGUACAUAUAUAUA
rnacentral:lncRNA from 1 species